rnacentral:lncRNA from 1 species
CCCAAAUGGCAUGAAAUUCCCCAGAUCUCAGUCAAAUUGAAGUCCCUUAUCCUCACUUUUCCAGCGAACCCACUGUUCCACUAUUCUUCCAUAUUUCCAUCGUGUAAUUCAUCUUUUACUCGCCGAUUGUUUCCAUCUUUUACUGUUGUGUCAAGACUCAUAGACAUGAACAAAGGUCACCACCGCCUUUGUUGCUUUGCUCGCCGAUUGUUUU